rnacentral:rRNA from 1 species
AGUCAAUAGAUACCCAGGUAGUCCAUGCCGUAAACGAUGAUUGCUAGGUGUGGGGGGUCUGACCCCUUCCGUGCCGGAGUUAAACACAAUAAGCAAUCCACCUGGGGAGUACGGCCGCAAGGUUGAAACUCAAAGGAAUUGACGGGGGCCCGCACAAGCAGUGGAGUAUGUGGUUUAAAUUCGAAGCAACGCGAAGAACCUUACCAGGUCUUGACAUCCACCGAAUCCUGUAGAGAUACGGGAGUGCCCUUCGGGGAACGGUGAGACAGGUGGUGCAUGGUUGUCGUCAGCUCGUGUCGUGAGAUGUUGGGUUAAGUCCCGCAACGAGCGCAACCCUUGUGAAUAGUUGCUACGAAAGAGCACUCUAUUCAGACCGCCGUUGACAAAACGGAGGAAGGUGGGGAUGACGUCAAAUCAUCAUGCCCCUUAUGA